GGUUACUGCCCCUGAAUUGGUAAAUUUAAGGAAAUUUGGCUAUCUUUGGUUAUUAUCUUGAAUAUUAUUAUAGAUAGAGAUAAACUGUAAACAGCAAUAUGUCAACAAAGUAAGAUUUAGAAAUAAGUCAAAUGACCGAAAUGGUCAGUUGACCCCUGUAGGAGUUAUUGCCCUUUAUAGUCAAUUUUUAACAAAAAUCUUCUCCUCUAAAAUUACUGGGCCAUAUAUAUCCAAACUUGGCCACAAUCAUCUUUUGGCUAUCUAGUUUAAAAAAAUGUGUCCGGAGACCCAGCCAUCAAUUUAAGAUGGCCGCCACGACUAAAAAUAGAACAUGAAGGGUAAAAUGCAGUUUUAUGCUUAUAACUCAAAAACCAAAGCAUUUAGAGCAAAUCUGACAUGGGGUAAAAUUGUUUAUUAGGACAAGAUCUAUCUGCCUGUAAAUUUUCAGAUGAAUCGGACAACCCGUUGUUGGAUUGCUGCCCCUGAAUCGAUAAUUUUAAGGAAAUUUGGCUGUUUUUUGUUAUUAUCUUGAAUAUUAUUAUAGAUAGAGAUAAACUGUAAACAGCAAU
rnacentral:lncRNA from 1 species